rnacentral:lncRNA from 1 species
AGCAGAACACCUCGUAUAAAGAAAUCUUCCCAAGAGGAAAGGCCAAGGCGCACUCCGCCUGGAGUCCCCAUUCACAGCUUUUGGGGUUCUUCUCUUCACCAAGUUCUUACAAGAGUCCACCAGGCUCCUGCUGUUCUUGGCCCAUCGCCCCUCUUCAGAGCACCCGCAAGGCCACCAAAGGGGGUAUUUAAACGACCUAAGAACCAAUACCGAGAAUCUAAGGGCCCUCAAAGCGAAGCUUGGUCUCUGCUUUUUCUGGAAGCAGAGAGGGAAGGAGAGACAUCCCCUGGGAAGAGGUUUACCGCUCUUUGAGGUACCAGGCCUCAGAGUUGUUCCCUCUUUUAUCUUCUGUCUCCAGUUGGACAGCCGCAGGCCCCUGGCCCCGGAACAUCACACAUCCAAACCAGUACCUAGCACCCUUUUCAGGUGCUCGGCAAGCACAGCCUUACCUUGCACGGCCUUUUCCUGGUCGGUGCGGCUGGCCAGCGGAGCGGGCAAGCUUUGCGCGGCUCCCAACAGCCGCAUUUUGCACGGGCUCCUCCGGCCCAGGAUGCUGUCGAUGCAGUAA